AUCUCAUUUCUGUGUUUGAUUUAUUGCUGCUCGAAAAAUUCUUUGUGACUUUUAUUAGACGUUUUCUAUACGUUUAUUAGACACAAAUUCUGGAAUAAUUACAAGAUUUUGAAGAAUUUUAUUGUGAGAUACAAAUUAUAUAUAUAUUUCCACUUAAAUUAUCUGUAAUGUGAAAUUGUUAGUGAUAUGAAAUUGCUAUUCAAUAAUUUCAGGAUAAUUACAGUAUUCAUGACAAAUUUCAAGUUGUGGUGUCAAAGUGAAAGUUAAGGAUAUUUUUAACUGGAUCACUGUGACCAUAAUUCUAAGGAAUCCGAUUUUGUGGACAGGAACAAGUUGAGACACAUUGCAGAGAAAUUUGGAUUCCAGAAUAUUAUUGUUACUUCUGAAAAUAACUGAUUGUAUAUUGGACAAUACUUUUAAAUAAC